AAAUUGAAGAGUUUGAUCAUGGCUCAGAUUGAACGCUGGCGGCAGGCCUAACACAUGCAAGUCGAGCGGUAACACAGAGAGCUUGCUCUCGGGUGACGAGCGGCGGACGGGUGAGUAAUGUCUGGGAAACUGCCUGAUGGAGGGGGAUAACUACUGGAAACGGUAGCUAAUACCGCAUAACGUCGCAAGACCAAAGUGGGGGACCUUCGGGCCUCAUGCCAUCAGAUGUGCCCAGAUGGGAUUAGCUAGUAGGUGGGGUAACGGCUCACCUAGGCGACGAUCCCUAGCUGGUCUGAGAGGAUGACCAGCCACACUGGAACUGAGACACGGUCCAGACUCCUACGGGAGGCAGCAGUGGGGAAUAUUGCACAAUGGGCGCAAGCCUGAUGCAGCCAUGCCGCGUGUGUGAAGAAGGCCUUCGGGUUGUAAAGCACUUUCAGCGGGGAGGAAGGCGUUAAGGUUAAUAACCUUGGCGAUUGACGUUACCCGCAGAAGAAGCACCGGCUAACUCCGUGCCAGCAGCCGCGGUAAUACGGAGGGUGCAAGCGUUAAUCGGAAUUACUGGGCGUAAAGCGCACGCAGGCGGUCUGUCAAGUCGGAUGUGAAAUCCCCGGGCUCAACCUGGGAACUGCAUUCGAAACUGGCAGGCUAGAGUCUUGUAGAGGGGGGUAGAAUUCCAGGUGUAGCGGUGAAAUGCGUAGAGAUCUGGAGGAAUACCGGUGGCGAAGGCGGCCCCCUGGACAAAGACUGACGCUCAGGUGCGAAAGCGUGGGGAGCAAACAGGAUUAGAUACCCUGGUAGUCCACGCCGUAAACGAUGUCGAUUUGGAGGUUGUGCCCUUGAGGCGUGGCUUCCGGAGCUAACGCGUUAAAUCGACCGCCUGGGGAGUACGGCCGCAAGGUUAAAACUCAAAUGAAUUGACGGGGGCCCGCACAAGCGGUGGAGCAUGUGGUUUAAUUCGAUGCAACGCGAAGAACCUUACCUGGUCUUGACAUCCACAGAACUUUCCAGAGAUGGAUUGGUGCCUUCGGGAACUGUGAGACAGGUGCUGCAUGGCUGUCGUCAGCUCGUGUUGUGAAAUGUUGGGUUAAGUCCCGCAACGAGCGCAACCCUUAUCCUUUGUUGCCAGCGGUUAGGCCGGGAACUCAAAGGAGACUGCCAGUGAUAAACUGGAGGAAGGUGGGGAUGACGUCAAGUCAUCAUGGCCCUUACGACCAGGGCUACACACGUGCUACAAUGGCAUAUACAAAGAGAAGCGACCUCGCGAGAGCAAGCGGACCUCAUAAAGUAUGUCGUAGUCCGGAUUGGAGUCUGCAACUCGACUCCAUGAAGUCGGAAUCGCUAGUAAUCGUAGAUCAGAAUGCUACGGUGAAUACGUUCCCGGGCCUUGUACACACCGCCCGUCACACCAUGGGAGUGGGUUGCAAAAGAAGUAGGUAGCUUAACCUUCGGGAGGGCGCUUACCACUUUGUGAUUCAUGACUGGGGUGAAGUCGUAACAAGGUAACCGUAGGGGAACCUGCGGUUGGAUCACCUCCUUA
rnacentral:rRNA from 1 species